UACAGAGGUCCCAAGCGUUGUUCGGAUUCACUGGGCGUAAAGGGUGCGUAGGCGGUUUGGUAAGUCGGGUGUGAAAUCUCCACGCUCAACGUGGAGGGGCCACUCGAUACUGCCAUGACUCGAGUCCGGUAGAGGAGUGUGGAAUUCCCGGUGUAGCGGUGAAAUGCGCAGAUAUCGGGAGGAACACCCGUGGCGAAGGCGGCGACCUGGUCCGUGACUGACGCUGAGGCGCGAAAGCGUGGGGAGCAAACAGG
rnacentral:rRNA from 1 species